rnacentral:rRNA from 1 species
GACAGAGGGUGCAAGCGUUGUUCGGAAUUACUGGGCGUAAAGCGCGUGUAGGCUGCUCCGCAAGUCGGAUGUGAAAGCCCUGGGCUUAACCUAGGAAGUGCAUUCGAAACUUCUGAGCUUGAGUUCUGGAGAGGAAGGCGGAAUUCUCGGUGUAGAGGUGAAAUUCGUAGAUAUCGUAAGGAAGACCAGUGGCGAAGGCGGGUCUCUGGACAGUUCCUGACGCUGAGGCACGAAGGUCAGGGGAGCAAACGGG